AAGUACCAUUUUAGAUCGUGGUAUUUGGUAUAAGAUUAUAAAUAAUAUUUUACAAUUUUUGAACUUUUAGGCUUUUAGCGUGUUUCUACGAAACUUUCGUUGAUAAAAUCGGGUCGGUUGGUCAGUAACCCUAUUAUAGUAGAGCUACUCGGUCGUUACGCCAAGCUUCCAACCAAACAACGGGAAUUACGUCAUAUAUAGGUGCCUACACUACCCGAGUACUCGAACCCGAAUACCGUUUUAUGAGUUAUAGUGCACUACCAAUACUAAUGCUAUCUACAAUAUUUAUUAAUACUUGUAUAACUGAUAUAAAAGUAUAUAAUAAUAUAAGUUAAUAAUCUUAUUACAUUGACCCAAUAGUAAUUUAUAAUUAUUAUUUUUGAUAAAUCCUUUAUACUACAUCUUAAUAGAUUAAUAGAAUGUUCUUUGACUAUACGAAUACACACGCUACAAGACAUAAAUGUUAUAAACAAUAGACACACAUAAAUAAAUCAUAUCCGUGAGUGUAAUAUGUCUAUAUGGUAAUGGGUAGUUUUCGUAAGAAUUCUGAAACAUAUUAUAUAGUUUUCGAAAACAUAAUCUAUUGAUACGAAAUACACGUCUUAAGUUUAUACUAAGGUUUCAUAACAAAAACGCAUUGCCAAUAAGAAUUAAAUAUUCAAAUAAGUUUAAUUAUGCAUAACACUGAGAGUAUAUAGAUAGGUAAAUAAAUAUUAUAGGUACCUACAAUAUAAAACGACCUAUAAUCCUAUAUAAUAUUUUAAUUAUGAUAAUAUCACCUACCUCUAUACAUUUUUCCGAAGACAAUGAUUAUUGAUUAAAGCGAGUCAAGCGAGAUAUAUCUGGUUUACGCUGAACAUUACUACGCUUUACGCGGCGCGUGCAAAUGCAAAAUUACGUUUGGUCGAUGGGGGAGAAACGGUUACUUACAUUGUGCGCAAGUCCACUGUUGCAUCCUAUUGGUGGACGUCAUUACAUAUAUAUAUUAUUCGUAUUUGUGUUAUUUUUUGAUGUCCGGACGUUUGAUUUCUACUAUAAAUUUUAAUAACUAUUGCGAAUCGAGUCUGUAACGCGGUACACUAUACAACUACACUGCAGACACAUAGUAUUUAUAUAUGCAAAUAUAAUAUAUUUAUAUGAUAGGCUGUACUUUAGAAUGUAGUAGGUAUAAUGUAUAAACGUCGUCUGUUAUUAUAUAAUAGUUGUUUUUUUCUUGUUAUAAGGCUAAAACGUAGUUGAUUUUUUUUUUUAUUUUAUUAGUUAAUUAUACGCAUUGAAAAAUUGAUUUCUCCGCACUCGACCCAGAUGGAAAAUAAUCAAAGUAGAGCCAUCAUCGUUAUAGGGAUUCAGUCUUCACUAGUCUGUGCGGGUCGAGCGGCGGCGUUGGUAUUUAGGCGAAUGAGGCGGUUUGGCGAAAGAAAUUCUGUGGCGGAACACUGCAGCAAUGCUACCUGUAGAACAGGUGUUGGCCGGAUGAACGCGAGUAAUACUAGCGAUAAUCGCCGAUGAUAAAUCAACGAUGGGGCAAUAAUAGGAAUGAUGGGACAGGGUCAUUAAAUUAGUAUAAAACACGAUUUUUCGUCAUUGGCCAUUGUUUCGGAGCCACACAGGUACCACUACUAUAUUUAAACUACAGUAUUACAUAUUAUUAUUUAUAUAUAUACUAUAUAAGUUAGGUAUCUACUACUAAUGUAUGUAGUAUGUAGUAUUUUAUUAUUAUUAAUAUUUCUCAUUAUUAAGGAAAAAAUAAU